UGACGCCAUGUUUUAUCUGAAGGGGUGGCUUGCUGUUCUGGGCUGAUACGCUUGGAUCUAUUUAUAUUUUUUCAAAGCUCAAAAAAUGGGCAAAUGCAUAUGGUGGUCUAUUUGCACCAUCCCCAUACUUGGAAGAAAGAGCUAAGAAAGGAUUACCACUGAGCACGACAACGUCCCCUCCAAACGCUUCAAUAUCACGCAUGUAAAUGUUUCUGCUCACCUGCUUGCUUGCCCUUCAAGCCAUCUUGUCCAAUGCAAAAGAAACACACCAUGAUCAUCAUGGCUAAUUCACAGAGAUAAUUUUUUAUACUCUAAUAUAUCUUUCGUAAUUCUAUUACUUGAAUCCAUGUGGUUUGAACUGGUAGGAAUUAUGGAAAUUUUGUGUGAGUGAAGCUUAUAAACUGUUUCUUUCAGUAUUUUCUCUGAAAUAAAUUCUUAAGGUGGUGAGAAGCUUCUGGAAUGUUAUCACACCUGCAUUGCCACCA